CAGCAGCCACGGGAAAACGGAGGGUGCAAGCGUUAUCCGGAUUCACUGGGUUUAAAGGGUGCGUAGGCGGAUCUGUAAGUCAGUGGUGUAAUCUCCAGGCUUAACCUGGAAACUGCCGUUGAUACUAUAGGUCUUGAAUUUUGUGGAGGUUAGCGGAAUAUGUCAUGUAGCGGUGAAAUGCAUAGAUAUGACAUAGAACACCAAUUGCGAAGGCAGCUGGCUACACAACUAUUGACGCUGAGGCACGAAAGCGUGGGGAUCAAACAGGAUUAGAUACCCCUGUAGUCCCUGUCUCUUAUAC
rnacentral:rRNA from 1 species